AAACAUCCAGGUUCUGAACCUAGAAUAACUCAGCUUCAUGUCGAAUCCCUAGUAGGAACGUUUAUCUGCAUUAUGUGCAUUUUUUACUUAGGGGACUCAACACAUGGGUUGGGUCCGUCUAGCAAUAACAACCUGAAACAGAAGAGACCAUCUUGAUGCAUCCUACUUGUGUUUUGUGCAUUUAUUUGUUUCGGACCCGGAUGUUGACUGGCUUCUGAAUCUCGGGAAUGUUAGAAAAUUUUGGAAAAUAGAGAAAAUAAAGCAGUUGGAGAGUUUAUUGAUUAUUUUAGAAAAAUAUAAUGUCCAAGUACUGUCAGAACUCUGCCAAAAUUUUGAGAAAAUAGAAAAAAUAUUUUAGUUUGUUUUGUUUUCAAAAAUGGAGAAGAAAAAUAAUUUGUUUGUUCAGUAUAAAAGAAAAAGAAAAAGUCUUGUUUUCAAAUUUAGUUUAUUUUCUUUGGCGAACGGGAAACACCCAGAAUAUCAUGCAAAAUCCUUUACCCGCACAUCAUGAUACACACUUUGUGGGGAUAAGACCUUAUGACAAAGAGCACUUGAAUCCUAAUGAGAACUUGUUGACUAAAGUUGAUGAUAUUGAAUUUGGUAAUGGUCUUGGCGAUAUUGAUGCGAAGCUCAGUGGCUAAGAUGCCAGGUUUGAUAAGUGGGAGGACGCCCCGUUCCUUGGUUCGCAGGAGAUAAGUUUUUGGUGGCUUAUUUUGUUGUCAUUUCUUUUAUCCGGAUUAUUCUUAGGAUUGUAAUCUGGAUAUUGUCUUACGUCAAACCUUCUUAUCUUUCCAUUUUUGUCAUAGCGGUU
rnacentral:lncRNA from 1 species